CACCUCUUGGUGAAGAACGAUGCCGAAGGGACGCGGUUUAGUACAUCCGAAAGGACGCUGGAAAGACCGCGAGGCAACAAGGAG
rnacentral:sRNA from 12 species